rnacentral:lncRNA from 1 species
CUUGAGACGACUGACAAACAGUCUUUCUUUUGCUGACGAGACGCUGUCCGAGAAGGUUGAAUUGAGACAUCGCGGGUUACUCUCUUACGUGACAUUUUGUGAUCAUAGACAUGUUUUCCUUUGAUUUAUAGGAUUCCUUGGUUACUUUGAUGUUGGAGCUGCUAAUGGUGUUGAUGCAGCGUUCAUGGUGUGAGCACUGAGCAGUGGUUUUGCAGUCAUUAUCCAGUCGAGAUGUCUUGAAAUGGAGCUUGUGCAGACAUUCAAUUCAAUUCAACAUCUUUCUUCGAUGUGUUAUUUGCCAAUGUUGGUGUUUUUGCAGUGUUGAGCUGUUGUGCAGAAUAGUCUGUUGCCUGGUGACUGUCAGGCAAGUUUUAUCGGUUGCCUCUCGUCGAUGUGUCGUCUCGUCUCUUGCCACCUGUCACGUUACGUGGAGUCGUUCGCUGCCGUUCCAUCGACUUGAUCCAUUGGUGAAACUGAGAUGAGGUUGCAGAAAUUGAAGAUUGAUACAUUAGAUUUGGACAAAUUAAAAGUGCAUGCAUGUCCUCCCUUUUCCCUAAGUAAACAGUCUCCGCCGUUGGUUAUUCGUCUGGUCGAACGGGAAAUUGCCAUGCAAAUGAUCUGAUGUACCUUUGGAGAAAAAUUAUUUUUACCACGAAGUAGUUUUCCCUAAAGAUUCGCUAUCAACUACCUCCAUUAUGUAACCGUAUUAAACCUGUUUGCUCUUCAUAUAUAUAUGACCAUUUUCAAUAUUCCUACUUCGCUAACAAUAAAAUAUGAAAUUAAAAA